rnacentral:rRNA from 1 species
ACCUACGGGGGGCAGCAGUAGGGAAUAUUGCUCAAUGGGGGAAACCCUGAAGCAGCAACGCCGCGUGGAGGAUGAAGGUUUUCGGAUCGUAAAGUUCUGUUCUUAGGGAAGAAGUCUUUUCUUGUGAAUAAUGGGAGAAGGUGACGGUACCUAUGGAGAAAGCUCCGGCUAACUACGUGCCAGCAGCCGCGGUAAUACGUAGGGAGCGAGCGUUGUCCGGAAUUACUGGGCGUAAAGGGCGCGUAGGCGGGAACUUAAGUUAGAUGUGAAAACUCCGGGCUCAACCUGGAGACUGCAUUUAAAAA